AUGUACAUGCCUACACCACAACAUUAAUGCAUCGUAUCCCAUUAGAACUCCGUAGAUAAGUGCGCUCAGGCUAGAGUAGUAUUGGGAUGGGUGACCACUGGGGAAGUCCUAGUGUUUUACAUU
rfam:Picea glauca, whole genome shotgun sequence.